AUUGCUCGGUGGUAAAGAGGGAGCCAUGGGGUAUCUAAUUGCGGGAAUUGCUACUGAGAACCCAAGUGGAACAACAUGAAGGUGACAGGUACAACUACCCUUCUACAUUUCACCUGGAUUUACAACCCAUUCCAGUCACAUGAGAGCACAACAAAACUUGCAUUUCAAAGACAUGGACCAAACUCAACAUGAAUCUUGUCUAUGAACCCUGAGGAGACGUUUGGCUUUGACAGAUCUACUAAAGCUGCCAGUGUCUAAACUUCAAAGCUCUCGUAAAGAGGUUCAUUGGAAUCUGAAUGUGUUGAGAUUGUCUUCAUUCAGCUUCUUCAAUUCUGGCUGUGCACAUCUGCUCACAUUCCACACAUAUAGGAUACUUCCACAUCAUUAGGAUACUUUCUGAACUAUCAUCAUGCUUACAUCAAGUUUUUUCUUAUGCCAACCGGCACUGUCUAAGACAACAUGUGGAAGACAGCACACACCUGAGACUACUCUUAAAGGCAGUGGAGUGGAAUUACAUCAAGUCUGGCUUCUCCUACAGUACUCAGGAUGAAGGUCUUCAUUUAAGUUCUUGAAACAUGGUGAAAUGGAGAGAAAUCUUCAGGUUUUAUUCUAUUUUCUCACUUCCCAUUCAUUCAAGUUCUUUGGCAUCUUUUCAUUGCACGCAGAAGGACAUGUUCAACCUCCGUCAGCAGCCAUGGCCCAUUUUAUGUUCUGAAAAAUCUUGCCAGAAUGGCCCCCCUCAAGCAACAAAUGGCCCAAUUUAUUUAUGACAGUGCCAAAAAAACUAUUUCCAGGAUGUUCAUAGGUCAAGAGCUCC